rnacentral:rRNA from 1 species
CCUAUGGGGGGCAGCAGGCGCGAAAACUUCUCAAUGCACGAAAGUGUGAAGAGGGGAUACUCAGUGCUUACGCUUCUGGCGUAGGCUUUUGUCGAGCGUAGACAGCUCGAUGAAUAAGUGGUGGGCAAGACUGGUGCCAGCCGCCGCGGUAACACCAGCGCCACAAGUGGUCAUCACGAUUAUUGGGCCUAAAGCGUCCGUAGCUGGUGCGGUGCAUCCCUUGUGAAAUUGUUCGGCUUAACCGAACAGCGUGCAGGGGACACGGCCGCGCUCGAGAUUGGGAGGGGGUAGAAGUAUUCCAUAGGGACCGGUAAAAUGGGAUAAUCUAUGGAGGACUACCGAUGGCGAAGGCAUCUACCCAGAACAAAUCUGACAGUGAGGGACGAAAGCCAGGGGAGCGAACCGGAUUAGAUACCCCCGUAGUCC